rnacentral:piRNA from 1 species
GCCUUUGGGACUGCCGCCACAGCCGCU